GACAAGUGCUCUUGGCAACUGCUUUCUCUGAACGUAGUCUCAUGAACACAGGACUCAAAGAUCUAAGAGGACAUUUCACACCCUACAACCCCUAAAAAUAAACCAGAUUUGACAUCACUGGACACCCAUCUGAGACCUACCUGUUUUACUUCAUGUUUACUCCAGAUACUCCUACAGUUAACCUGCAUUGGUAGUACUGCAAAGAUCAGUUUACAGGAUCUACCUCAGCCAUUGCUUCCAGACUGCCAUGUGCUACGUUUGGAUUACUGCUACAUUUGGAUUUACCCUAAUACUGUGAAGAACACUGACAGUGUGAUGCUUGACUUGGUACAGAAAAAAAUCCAUUGGCAAUUGGUGCAGGCAACUCAGUGCCAGACUUAAACUCAUCGUACUGCGACCUCCUCUGUUUACAAGAAGCAUACUAUAAAUCAGAUUGUUUCUGUUUUUUUCAAAAUGUUUGGAUUACAAGUUAAAACUGCAUUGAGAAACAAAAAAAUACAUUACCUUUACCUUUGAACUGUCACUACCCUAAAUUUAUGUGUGUGAUGAAUAGAACAUUGUUUUCAUUAAUUUGUAAUGGAUGUUUGAUGCACUUUUGUUACUGAGGUAAUGCUUAAACUUUUUUUUUUAAGUCAAUCUGUUUGCAAGCAACUAGAUUGAUGUUCAAGUAAAUAAGACUAAGGAAUUCCAAGUUGCAGGAAAUGUUAACAUGAGUCAGCUCAACUUAAAAGAGUUGUUUUGAAAUACACACAUAGUACAUUGUACUUAAUUAUUAAGUUGUUGAAAAUAGUGAUUCUGAGAAACCAGAACUUCCGUGUAAGUUUACUAAAUAAACCUUUGUUAGUACAAAUCA
ensembl:lncRNA